GAAAGAAUGAUACGUUUAAAAUGUAUCAAAUUAACAAUACUUCAGAAUUUUGUAUUGAUUGGCUUGGAAAGAUUAGAAGGAAUUGGUUAAUCGCUAUGGAUUACGAUUCUUGGUCGCUGUGGUAUAUUUGUUAUUCGGAAAAUCAUGAUAAUAGUGCAGUUGUAAUUAGUACGAGGGAGUCCAGACGAAACGAAACCGUUAUUAAUGAAGCUAAAAAGGCGAUGAAAAAUAUUAAAUUAA